CCUGGCGGCCAUAGCGCGGUGGACCCACCUGAACCCAUGCCGAACUCAGAAGUGAAACGCCGUAGCGCCGAUGGUAGUGUGGGGUCUCCCCAUGCGAGAGUAGGACACUGCCAGGG
rnacentral:rRNA from 1 species